AGAGUUUGAUCAUGGCUCAGAGCGAACGCUGGCGGCAGGCUUAACACAUGCAAGUCGAGCGGGCGUAGCAAUACGUCAGCGGCAGACGGGUGAGUAACGCGUGGGAACGUACCUUUUGGUUCGGAACAACACAGGGAAACUUGUGCUAAUACCGGAUAAGCCCUUACGGGGAAAGAUUUAUCGCCGAAAGAUCGGCCCGCGUCUGAUUAGCUAGUUGGUGAGGUAACGGCUCACCAAGGCGACGAUCAGUAGCUGGUCUGAGAGGAUGAUCAGCCACAUUGGGACUGAGACACGGCCCAAACUCCUACGGGAGGCAGCAGUGGGGAAUAUUGGACAAUGGGCGCAAGCCUGAUCCAGCCAUGCCGCGUGAGUGGUGAAGGCCCUAGGGUUGUAAAGCUCUUUUGUGCGGGAAGAUAAUGACGGUACCGCAAGAAUAAGCCCCGGCUAACUUCGUGCCAGCAGCCGCGGUAAUACGAAGGGGGCUAGCGUUGCUCGGAAUCACUGGGCGUAAAGGGUGCGUAGGCGGGUCUUUAAGUCAGGGGUGAAAUCCUGGAGCUCAACUCCAGAACUGCCUUUGAUACUGAAGAUCUUGAGUUCGGGAGAGGUGAGUGGAACUGCGAGUGUAGAGGUGAAAUUCGUAGAUAUUCGCAAGAACACCAGUGGCGAAGGCGGCUCACUGGCCCGAUACUGACGCUGAGGCACGAAAGCGUGGGGAGCAAACAGGAUUAGAUACCCUAGUAGUCC
rnacentral:rRNA from 1 species